CCUACGGGGGCAGCCGUGGGGAAUAUUGGGCAAUGGGCGCAAGCCUGACCCAGCAACGCCGCGUGAAGGGAGAAGGCUUUCGGGUUGUAAACUUCUUUUGUCAGGGACGAAGCAAGUGACGGUACCUGACGAAUAAGCCACGGCUAACUACGUGCCAGCCGCCGCGGUAAUACGUAGGUGGCACGCGUUAUCCGGAUUUACUGGGUGUAAAGGGCGUGUAGGCGGGACUGCAAGUCAGAUGUGAAAACCACGGGCUCAACCUGUGGCCUGCAUUUGAAACUGUAGUUCUUGAGUACUGGAGAGGCAGACGGAAUGCCUAGGGUAGCGGUGAAAUGCGUAGAUAUUAGGAGGAACACCAGUGGCGAAGGCGGGCUGCUGGACAGCAACUGACGCUGAGGCGCGAAAGCGUGGGGAGCAAACAGGAUUAGAUACCCUAGUAGUC
rnacentral:rRNA from 1 species